AUGGUAACCGUACCAUCCCUCCUGCUCCUCCUCCUCCUCCCCUGCUGCCUCCUGCACCGCGCGGCCGCCCAUGAGGGGCAGCUUCUCAUCCGGAUCAAGGGCGCGUGGGGCAACCCGCCCGUGCUGGCGGCAUGGAACAGAUCCAGCGACCACUGCACCUGGCCCUACGUGACCUGCGACGCUUCCUCCGGGCGGGUCACGAGCCUCUCCCUCGCCAACGCCGGUGUCGCUGGCCCAUUCCCGGACGCCAUCGGCGGCCUCUCCAGCCUCACCAGCCUCAACCUCUCCAACAACCACAUCACCGGCGCCUUCCCGACCAGCGUCUACCGGUGCACUUCGCUUCGGCACCUCGAUUUGUCACUUACCUGCCUCCACGGCGAGCUCCCUGCCGACAUCGGCAACGGCGUGCCGCUGCUGCAGACGAUGAACUUGUCAGGUAACCAGAUCUCUGGCGAGAUCCCGAGGAGCGUAGCCAAGCUCCGCUUGCUGAUGCACUUGGACCUGAGCAAGAAUCAGCUCGCCGGCGAGAUACCGGCUGAAUUGGGCGCCAUGCGGGUGCUCAACGCACUUGACCUAUCGUCAAACAAGCUAUCCGCGACAUACCGCCACCGCUUGCCAAGCUAA
rnacentral:rRNA from 1 species